GAUGAACGCUGGCGGCGUGCUUAACACAUGCAAGUCGAACGGGAAUUAUUUUAUUGAAACUUCGGUCGAUUUAAUUUAAUUCUAGUGGCGGACGGGUGAGUAACGCGUGGGUAACCUGCCUUAUACAGGGGGAUAACAGUCAGAAAUGGCUGCUAAUACCGCAUAAGCGCACAGAGCUGCAUGGCUCAGUGUGAAAAACUCCGGUGGUAUAAGAUGGACCCGCGUUGGAUUAGCUGGUUGGUGGGGUAACGGCCCACCAAGGCGACGAUCCAUAGCCGGCCUGAGAGGGUGAACGGCCACAGUGGGACUGAGACACGGCCCAGACUCCUACGGGAGGCAGCAGUGGGGAAUAUUGCACAAUGGGGGAAACCCUGAUGCAGCGACGCCGCGUGAAGGAAGAAGUAUCUCGGUAUGUAAACUUCUAUCAGCAGGGAAGAUAGUGACGGUACCUGACUAAGAAGCCCCGGCUAACUACGUG
rnacentral:rRNA from 1 species